AGCGAACGCUGGCGGCAGGCCUAACACAUGCAAGUCGAACGAACCUUUCGGGGUUAGUGGCGGACGGGUGAGUAACACGUGGGAACGUGCCUUUAGGUUCGGAAUAACUCAGGGAAACUUGUGCUAAUACCGAAUGUGCCCUUCGGGGGAAAGAUUUAUCGCCUUUAGAGCGGCCCGCGUCUGAUUAGCUAGUUGGUUGAGGUAAUGGCUCACCAAGGCGACGAUCAGUAGCUGGUCUGAGAGGAUGAUCAGCCACAUUGGGACUGAGACACGGCCCACACUCCUACGGGAGGCAGCAGUGGGGAAUCUUACGCAAUGGGCGAAAGUCUGACGCAGCCAUGCCGCGUGAAUGAUGAAGGUCUUAGGAUUGUAAAAUUCUUUCACCGGGGACGAUAAUGACGGUACCCGGAGAAGAAGCCCCGGCUAACUUCGUG
rnacentral:rRNA from 1 species